AGGCGCGCGCGCCGUGUUUCCGUGCACUUUUGCACAAGUCACGCGGCCACAGUCCUGCAGGGGUGUCCCCGUCCCCGAGGAGGAGCCAGGCUUCGCGAUGCUCCCGUGUCCGCCGCGGUCCCAGCCCCGCUCGGACGGCAGCGUGUCCGCCCGGGAGGUGGCCGCGGGGUCCGCAGGGGGCUUCCCCCGAGCCGGGGAAGACGGUAGGUGCGGCGUCCCCCCGGGAGCCGGACCUGGAAUUCACAGAGCCCUGAGCACAGAAGGGGUGCAACCACAGCCGGACCCGCAGCGCGUCCCGCUCCUCACCCUCCGGGGGCUGCGCCGCGGCUCGUGAACAGACACGGAAGGAAGACGCGGGAAUUUGCCCCCUAGACUUCCGGCUGAAAGUCCGCCCCCUCCCGCCUCAACGGCGCGGCCGCUGCGGUGACGGAACAGCGCGUCCUUCCCGAGUCGGGAGACUUCACCCGGGCCCCGGGGAGCCGGGCUUCUCACCGAGACCGGGAUCGGGCCGGUUUGAGCCCGAGUCCGGCCGGCAGACCGGGAGUCGAGGUGCCAGAAAAAUAAAAGGCUGGGAGGGUUUGCCGUUAUUCCGUGAGCUUUGAGAAAGAGAGAGCAGGGCAGCCUGAGAUCCUUCCCCGGGAGGGGGCUCCGCCCUGGGGGUGCCGCGGGCAGCAAUAAGCGAGCUUAGCAGAGGAUGGUUUCGAUCCAUCGACCUCUGGGUUAUGGGCCCAGCACGCUCCCGCUGCGCCACUCUGCUCGUCUGGCGAGGCCGCCGCUGGCUUUCCUAUCUCGAUUCCUACCCGCUUGACCCGCGUGGUGCUACGCUCCGUCCCCCCACUCUCCCUCCCUCCCUCCCUCCGUCUCCGCUCCGCGUUUCACUCUCUUCCCAGCCCAACAGUCCACGCCACUCCCGACGUGUCCUCGCCGCGCAGACCCUCGGGGACCUCCAGUCCUCUCCCUGCGAGGUCGCCCGUCACCCGCCUGCGCUGGGAGUGAUGAUGGCGAGGAUGUCAGCUCUCCACACCAGGGCUCGGGCAAAGCCCCUUCCUUGGGAUUCGCUCCUGGUCCUCCAGCCCAUCACCUUUCUCCUCUUCCUUCUCGCCGCGCACUCGGAUUUAUCCGCUAACGUGGUCCCGGGCUCUGUUUUACCUUUCGUGACCCCUGCCCGCGAGUCCGCGCAGGUCUCAUUCGCUCGGCCGCUCUCCGUUAUCGGAGACCCCAAAGUCACCCCCCCCCAUUUCCAAGCCCUCAUCGCGGGGUUCAGAGCCACCUGCACCCAGCUCUGGAAGCGCCCCCACCCCCACCCCCGCGCACCGCGCUCCGCGGUCAGACGUGGGGCUGCGCGACAGGUCCGUUUCUACCUGCGGGGUCUUGGCCCUCGGGCACCGACAGACGGAUGACUUAGCCCAGAAGGCCCCUCUACAGGCUGCCAAGGCUGCGGGCGUUUGAAGAAACCCGACGGGCCAGCUCCCGGGGCAGAGACGGGCCCUCUCCGAGGCGAUUUUACCCAAACCGGGGCCGCGCUUCCCCCGAUACAGGCGCGGUGUGUGGCACCUGCAAACCCCUGAAGGCGCCGACUGGUUUCCUCCUUCACCCCCUUCGCUUCCCUUCCGAAUUCUGCGGGGUGCGCACCUUCUCGGGCACAUUCUCGUUCUUUCUGCCCCGUUCCCUCUUGCCUGCCACAGAAGCGCAGACCCUGUGUGGACCGCCCGGGACAGAACGUUCCGUCACUUCUACGGCUGACCCCCGCCAGCAGGAACGGCACGCGGCCCCCUCCUGCCGGAAGAGGGUCACGCGGCCUCUGCACCUGUGCGUGGGUCACUUGGACUCCCGAAUGCUCUCCCGGGAAAUUGCAAGGGUCGAACCAAGACUUCAAAAAAAGAUCGUGGAAAUGCGGGACUUGGCCCGCGCUCCUCAAUUCUGUCAAGCGAAGCCAGACUCCGGGCGCCUGUUCUUAGCUGGACUGGCCGCCCGUUUUUUGGCUUUGAUUCAAAGUGCUAAUUUCAAGCCUGUGACACUAUUUCUGGACUGCACUAGAAGGGCUGAAACUUACAUUUUUAUGUCUAGAGGGAGCCCAGUUUUUCGCCCUCAGGAUUGACAGUGCGAGUCAAGACGCUCCAGUUCUCCCUGACCUGACUGAGUUCUCUGGUCUGCUCCUCGGCCCCCACUCCAGCAGCAGUGGGGUGAGUGUAUCUUAGACUCGAGGAUCCUCUGUCUUGGUCUUUCUUCAACUUUUCAGGUGGAAAACUUAGCUGCAGGGAGAAUCAGGCUCUAGCGGACUGCUUGUUUCCUAUGUAACCCGGGAGAUGGAAAUUCCUGCAGCUAAAUGAGAACUAGACUGAGAUCCAGCAAGAUCACUCACCGGGAUGAAGCAAUUGCCUUCAACUUUAACUCUCUCCCAGUGAGGUGAAAGAACACAGUAAAAUGUACGUUCGAAGCCAAAACUUCUGACUCUUUGACAUAAUGGGUCCAAUAGAUGACCCUUUGCUCUCAUGACAAAUGGGCACGUUGUGCUUUGUCCCUGGGUUGACGAGACUCGGUUUGAUUUAAUCUCCAGCUUCCUGCUUUGUCAGCCUCUGAGGGCAACCAGGGAGCUACCCUCCAAACCAGGACAAACCCUGAUGGAAGGUUCAGACGGACUCUGAAUCAAACUCUGUGAGGAAUGAUGGACAACGCGAAGACGUUGGCUGUGAAAUCGUGUGCAAUACAAAGAUAAGGGGCACUAAGGAAUCUACUCCUGAAAUCGUUGCACUAUAUGCUAACUAAUUUGGAUGUAAAUUUUAAAAAAGAAAUAAAGAAAUUAAAUUUAAAAAAUUCCAUGAUACACACACACCAAAAAAAAAAACAUUUUGAGGGAAAUACAGACCGAAGAAGGUUAAACAUGUAGCCUACGCUAAUAAAACAGCAGAGCCAGAAGCUUCUGGAUUCUUUACAUUCUAGACCUACCUGGCAACUACACCGCUAAUAAAAACCUCUUUUGUAAUGAUACAAAAAAAAGAUUUCAAAACUCUAAAUGACAUAGUUUUUGAUUCUUUAAGCUGUGGAACGCAUAUAUAAUGGAAUAUUCUGCAGGUGAUCGUGUGAAUGAGGCAUGUUCGUUUGUACUGAUGUGAAUUACACAUGCAUAAUAUAUGUAAAUCUAUGUAUUUACUCCAUGUAACUGCAGACUCACUGAGUUGUAAGUAAUGCUAGAGAGAGAACACGUUACCCGAGUUUGCCCCCAUGGUAACAUCCGGGCUCAUCACAUCACCAGCAGGAUAUCGACAUUGAUACAGCCCUCCAAGUCUUAUUCUAUCUCCCCAGUUGUAGUCACUUUUGUGUGAGUACGUUCACCUCUAUACAGUGUAUCACGUACAGAUUCACGUAGCCAGCACCCCAAGCCCAUGUGGCUUCGUGGCAGUGGGACGUCCCCCCCCCCCCAUCUUCUCCCAGCACUUCCCUCCCUAAGGCCAGAAAACCAGAAGCUGAUUCUUCAUCUAAGUGAGUCUUUCCCGGAAUGUUGUAGAAGUGGAAUCACACAAAAUAUAACUUUUUGAGAUUGGCUUCUUUUCCACACAAGUCCCUGGAAAUUCAUCCAAGUGGCCACAUGUAUGUGUAGUCUCUUCCUUUGUACUGAAAGCAUAUUUCACAGUGUGGAUACAUCAUUAGCUGUUCAGACAUUCACCUACCCGUGUUUCCAGUUUGGGGCUAGUCCGGAUAAAGAUUCUGUAAGAAAAACUACAUACAGAUCUUUGUAGGAACAUAAGUUCCUAUUUUUCUGGAAUAAAUACCCGAGAGUGCGAUUACUGGAUUAUCUGAAAAUUUCAUGUUUACUUUUCUAAGAAGCUACCAAACCAUUUUCCUGAGUCACUUUACCAUUUUACGUUCCCACCAUCAGUGUAGGAGGGAUUUAGUUUCCCCACAUCCUCGCCAGAAUCGAGUGUUGUCAUUAUUUUUGGUUUAGCCAUUCGGACAGGUGGAGGGUGAUACCUUAUUGUGGUUUUAAUUUGUAUUUCCCUGACAGCUAAUGAAGCUGAACAUUUUGUUCCUGUACUUAAUUGCCAUCCGUAUAUUAUCAUAGGUGUAAUGCCUCUCAUGUCUUUUAUCGACUUUCCAACUAAAGUGUUGGUUUUCUUUCCUGGUCUGUCCGGUUUUGAGAAUUCUGUGUAGAUGUUCUAGAUACUGUCCUUGGCCAGAUAUGUGGGUUAUAAAUAUUUCUCCCGAUUUGUAGUUUGUUUUUUCAACUGCUUCGUAGCGUCUUUCUGCAGAGUAAAAGCUGUUAAUUUUGAAGAGGUCUGAUUUAUCUCUUUUCCUUUUGAGGAUUGAGCUUUGGUACCAAGUCGAAGGAGUCUGCCUGACCCUAGAUCCUGAAAAAUCUGCUAUGUUGUUUUCUAAAAGCUUUAGAAUUUUACAUUUCAGUCUGUGAUUCAUUUUAAGUUAAUUUUUGUGUACAGAAUGAGAUUUAGGUCGAUGUGGGUUUUGGUUUUUGUUUUUGUUGCGGUUUUUGGCCUACGGAUGCCAGCUACUCGAGGACCAAGUAUUGAAGGCUCCCUCUUCUGUUGAAUUUUUUCCCCUACGCUACUGUUCAGAAAUCAGUUGGGCAUAUUUCCAUGGGUCAGUAUGUAUUGUUAAGGGAAAGAAAUAACCAAGAUGAACACUGUACGAAUUUGCUACCCUUCACUUAAGAGUAUAGAGUGGACUGAACAUUAUACACACAUGUAACUCUGGAAAGUUAUACAAAAACUCAUUCUACUGGGGAGGCAAAUCGAAGAGCUCAAGCGAUUAGAUGGAAAACACUUUUUUUCACUGCGUGUAUCCCAAUAUCAUUUGAGAUUCAUAUCGUGAUUAUUAUUUUUAAAAUAUUUUAAAUAUUGAAAUUCUUUUUUUUAUUAAAAAUUUUUUAUGUUUAUUUAUUUUUGAGACAGAGACAGAGCAUGAACGGGGGAGGGG